rnacentral:rRNA from 1 species
CUACGUGCCAGCAGCCGCGGUAAUACGGAAGGUCCGGGCGUUAUCCGGAUUUAUUGGGUUUAAAGGGAGCGUAGGCCGUGGAUUAAGCGUGUUGUGAAAUGUAGACGCUCAACGUCUGAAUUGCAGCGCGAACUGGUUCACUUGAGUAUGCACAACGUAGGCGGAAUUCGUCGUGUAGCGGUGAAAUGCUUAGAUAUGACGAAGAACUCCGAUUGCGAAGGCAGCUUACGGGAGCACAACUGACGCUGAAGCUCGAAGGUGCGGGUAUCAAACAGGAUUAGAUACCCUGGUAGUCCGCACAGUAAACGAUGGAUGCCCGUUGUUAGUUCACUUUAGAAUUAGCGACCAAGCGAAAGCAUUAAGCAUCCCACCUGGGGAGUACGCCGGCAACGGUGAAACUCAAAGGAAUUGACGGGGGCCCGCACAAGCGGAGGAACAUGUGGUUUAAUUCGAUGAUACGCGAGGAACCUUACCCGGGCUUGAAUUGCAGACGAACGAUUCAGAGA